rnacentral:rRNA from 1 species
UACGUAGGGUGCAAGCGUUGUCCGGAUUUAUUGGGCGUAAAGAGCUCGUAGGCGGUUAGUCACGUCGGAUGUGAAAACCCGGAGCUUAACUCCGGGCCUGCAUUCGAUACGGGCUGACUAGAGUGUUGUAGGGGAGACUGGAACUCCUGGUGUAGCGGUGAAAUGCGCAGGUAUCAGGAAGAACACCGGUGGCGAAGGCGGGUCUCUGGGCAACUACUGACGCCGAGGAGCG